rnacentral:rRNA from 1 species
CACGUAGGGCGCAAGCGUUGUCCGGAAUUAUUGGGCGUAAAGAGCUCGUAGGCGGUCUGUUAAGUCGGGGGUGAAAUCCUGGGGCUCAACCUCAGAAUUGCCUCCGAUACUGGCAGUCUCGAGUGCGGGAGAGGUGAGUGGAAUUCCCAGUGUAGAGGUGAAAUUCGUAGAUAUCGGGAAGAACACCCGUGGCGAAGGCGGCUCUCUGGGACGGUACUGACGCUGAGACGCGAAAGCGUGGGGAGCGAACAGG